CGCGUAGGCGGACAUUUAAGUCAGGGGUGAAAUGCCAAGGCUCAACCUUGGAACUGCCUUUGAUACUGUAUGUCUCGAGUUCGGGAGAGGUGAGUGGAAUUCCGAGUGUAGAGGUGAAAUUCGUAGAUAUUCGGAGGAACACCAGAAGCGAAGGCGGCUCACUGGCCCGAGACUGACGCUGAGGCGCGAAAGUGUGGGGAGCAAACA
rnacentral:rRNA from 1 species